CCUACGGGCGGCAGCAGUGGGGGAUAUUGCACAAUGGAGGGAACCCUGAUGCAGCGACGCCGCGUGGGUGAAGGAGCGUUUCGGCGCGUAAAGCCCUAUCGGAAGGGAAGAAGAUGACGGUACGUGACCAAGAAGCCCCGGCUAACUACGUGCCAGGAGCCGCGGUAAUAAGUAGGGGGCAAGGGGUAUCCGGAUUUACUGGGUGUAAAGGGGGCGCCGACGGCAAAGCAAGGUAGGAGUGAAAGGCCGGGGCCCAACCCCGAGACUGCUCUUGGAACUGCAUGGCUGGAGUGCAGGAGGGGCAAGCGGAAUUCCUAGUGUAGCGGUGAAAUGCGUAGAUAUUAGGAGGAACACCGGUGGCGAAGGCGGCCUGCUGGACUGUGACUGACGUUGAGGCCCGAAGGCGUGGGGAGCAAACAGGAUUAGAUACCCGGGUAGUC
rnacentral:rRNA from 1 species